rnacentral:rRNA from 1 species
UACGAGGGGGGCAAAUGUUGUUCGGAAUCACUGAGCGUAAAGGGAGCGUAGGCGGGUUUUUAAGUUAGAUGUUUAAUCCCGGGGCCCAACCCCGGACAGGCACCUAAAACUGGAAAUCUUGAAUAGUGGAGAGGUCGAUGGAAUUGGGGGUGUAGCGGUGGAAUGCGUAGAGAUCCCCAAGAACGCCAGUUGCGAAGGCGGCCGACUGGACACAUAUUGACGCUGAGGCUCGAAAGCAUGGGGAGCAAACAGG